AGUGUGUGUGCAUCAGUGUGUGUGUGAGUGUGUGUGUGCGUUGGUGUGUGUGUCAGUGUGUGUGCGUUGGUGUGUGUCAGUGUGUGUGUGUCUGUGUGUGCGUUGGUGUGUGUGUCAGUGUGUGUGCGUUGGUGUAUGUGUCGGUGUGUGUGCGUCGGUGUAUGUGUGUCAGUGUGUGAGCGUCAGUGUGUGUGUGUCAGUGUGUGUGCGUUGGUGUGUGUGUCAGUGUGUGAGCGUCAGUGUGUGUGUGUCAGUGUGUGUGCGUUGGUGUGUGUGUCAGUGUGUGUGCGUGGUGUGUGUGUCAGUGUGUGUGCGUUGGUGUGUGUGUCAGUGUGUGUGCGUUGGUGUGUGUGUCAGUGUGUGUGCGUUGGUGUGUGUGUCAGUGUGUGUGCGUCGGUGUGUGUGUCAGUGUGUGAGCGUCAGUGUGUGCGUCAGUAUGUUAGUUUAUGUCUGUGUGUGCGUCAGUAUCUGUGUGUGUGCGUUAGUGUCAGUGUGUGUGUGUGUCAGUGUGCGUUGGUGUGUGUCUGUGUGUGUGCAUUGGUGUGUGUCAGUGUGCGUUUGUGUGUGUGUGUGUGUGUGUCAGUGUGCGUUGGUGUGUGUCUGUGUGUGUGCAUUGGUGUGUGUCAGUGUGCGUUUGUGUGUGUGUGUGUGUGUGUGUGUGUGUAGACUUCCAAAACUGAGUAAAUGCAUCAUACAACCAUAGUUAACUUGCUUAACUUUUCUAAUGGCAUUGUAAUGGAUUGCUACACUGUUGCUGUGACUGGCUGUGCUGUGCUGAGCUGAGCCCUGAUGCUUCAUGUUACCGUGAUAAAUCUUGAUGUAUAAUAAUGUUCUGCACGCUUGCUAAGUGUUCGGUGGCUGCCUCUAAUCAAAUUCAGAGCGCAUUUCUCAGGUCUGUCAUACAAAGUGCAAGAGAAAGUACUCUGAACUCGAUCAGAGGAAACCGCCGAACACUUAGGAGUCAUUAAAUCUAAAUAAAAUAAAAAAGACCCAGACAAAAACCUGCUAUUGAUCUGUUUAGGUAGACCCCGUUGUGGUUUAAAUGUCUGGAAAGCUUCAUAGACUUUGUGAGUGCGGGAGCUGCACUCUCAGACCAGUAGCUAGUAGAUUGCAAUGGAGACUUCUAAUGGUUUUUACUGGGUUGUGUUGAGCUGAACUGAAUCAUUCUGUUAUUUUUUUAUUUUUUCCAGCUCUGCCGCUUGAGGACAGUCCCACAGCCAGCCCCUGCCUGCGUCUCCGUCUCUCAGUGUGUUGUGAAACAACUGCAGGAUCGCAAGUGGAGGUUCCAGCAGGGACCACGGCCCCCCAGAGUGGAGUCUCCUCCCUGCUCCAGAGUCCCGAGACCCUCCUCGCUCUGUCCCUACUGAGCGUGUGCAUCUCCCUGCUCCUCCCCCUCCCCCUCAGAGACUGAAGCAAACCCAGCGACGACAAACACAAACCGGACAGCACUUUAGAGACGGGUGACAGACAGACGGAUAGUUUUCCAGCAAAGCCAGCGUCUAGCACACUCUCUGUAUCCCUAUACAUUUUAUAAGGCUUUUUUCAGUGCAAAGUAUUUGAUCACACAAAGGGACAGGCAAGUCCUUUCUGUCUUCAGCAAAAAAAAAACGAACAAACAGAAAAUAUCCAGCUGUUCUCUUUUAGGAGAGAAUUCUAAUGACGGACCACAAAUUCCUGAUUCACUGCACGCUGGCACGCACGCACACACCGACACGCACGCGCGCACUGACGCGCGCACACACACACACACACACACACACACAGCUGUGUCUAAAUGCUUCUCCACUGAAACAUGUUUUUUUUUUACUUAUCGUUUUUUUAUUGUCGGUUUAAUCUGGUCAAGUUUUAAUUGCUGUUCCUCUGUUUGGUUUUAUCAUACUUUCCCAAUCUCCUGGGAACAGGACUGACGCGCACACACGCACACACACACACACACACACACAGCUGCACAGAGUUAACACCAGUCCCUUCAGACACAAACGCAUCAUUACUGAGCUGUGUGAGUGAAUGCGAGAGGAGACUUCCACUGCUGGGGAAGAAGAGAAACACACUGAGGCGCACACACACGCACACACACACACACACACACACACACGGGGACUGAUAGAGAGGGAGAAACACACACUAACUAAGUCACACAGACACAGGGACUGAUACAGAGAGGGAGAAACGCACACUAACUCACUCACACACACACACACACUUGGGUUUCAUAGUGUUUAUGUAGACUUUGCAUUGACUCUCAUACAC